rnacentral:snoRNA from 1 species
GAAAAAGCAGGAUACUGUGCUCUCUGCAAGCAGUGCCCCCGUAAACUUCAGGAAAAUCAUGUUCAUCGUUAUUGGGUGAACCUGCGGACACGUUCAUGUGUUGACGACCCUAUGCCCAUCGGUUCAGUAAAUGAUUUUUGUUUU